rnacentral:rRNA from 1 species
UGGGGAAUAUUGCACAAUGGGCGCAAGCCUGAUGCAGCCAUGCCGCGUGUGUGAAGAAGGCCUUCGGGUUGUAAAGCACUUUCAGCGGGGAGGAAGGCGUUAAGGUUAAUAACCUUGGCGAUUGACGUUACCCGCAGAAGAAGCACCGGCUAACUCCGUGCCAGCAGCCGCGGUAAUAAGGAGGGUGCAAGCGUUAAUCGGAAUUACUGGGCGUAAAGCGCACGCAGGCGGUCUGUCAAGUCGGAUGUGAAAUCCCCGGGCUCAAACUGGGAACUGCAUUCGAAACUGGCAGGCUAGAGUCUUGUAGAGGGGGGUAGAAUUCCAGGUGUAGCGGUGAAAUGCGUAGAGAUCUGGAGGAAUACCGGUGGCGAAGGCGGCCCCCUGGACAAAGACUGACGCUCAGGUGCGAAAGCGUGGGGAGCAAACAGG